rnacentral:rRNA from 1 species
UACGGGGGGGGCAAGCGUUGUUCGGAAUUACUGGGCGUAAAGGGCUCGUAGGUGGCCAACUAAGUCAGACGUGAAAUCCCUCGGCUUAACCGGGGAACUGCGUCUGAUACUGGAUGGCUUGAGUUCGGGAGAGGGAUGCGGAAUUCCAGGUGUAGCGGUGAAAUGCGCAGAUAUCGGGAGGAACACCGGUGGCGAAGGCGGUUCUCUGGGCCUUACCUGACGCUGAGGAGCGAAAGCGUGGGGAGCGAACAGG